UUCACAGAUAGCUACUAAUCACAGACACUCUGUUCUGAGCGAGAUAGGAAGUGGGGUCACAUCUAAUCUGACAAAUCAGUCCAUCCACUCCCCUUCCUCUCUGGGCAAACACAGGAUGUGUAAGUAAAGGCACCUGGGCUUCCUACCCUUGCUGCUAGCAGGUUUUCUUAAAUUAGAGGUAGUGUAUUGUGAGCAGAAACUCUCUGGUAAACUGCUGGUUGAGGCAGUUGAGAGUGAUUUACAGGAGUGAUAGGCCGUUUGCAGUGUGACACUUUUAAAAGCCAAGGAACCGAUCAAAGUGAAGUGUCUGAAGUUAUGGGAAAGAUUCUUCUAUGCGCAUAAACAAAGUUGUCACUGCAAACUGGUUUCUUGCUUGCCUUGUCACCUGUUGCUCUGACAUUUUUUAAAAGAAGAGGCCUUCACUCAAAGUCAGGUUUGAUUUAAUUUAGUUUGACUGCUUUUAUUAAACUUUCAAACAUAAAAGAGACUCCUAAUAUAAGCAUUUUGUUUUGGAUCAAGUACAAGGUUUUAUUCAAUGUGACAUGAAUUAUUUGUUAGUUUCCUGUU
rnacentral:lncRNA from 1 species